CCUACGGGAGGCUGCAGUGAGGAAUAUUGGUCAAUGGACGCAAGUCUGAACCAGCCAUGCCGCGUGCAGGAAGACGGCUCUAUGAGUUGUAAACUGCUUUUGUACGAGGGUAAAUCCCGAUACGUGUAUCGGGUUGAAAGUAGCGGACGAAUAAGCAUCGGCUAACUCCGUGCCAGCAGCCGCGGUAAUACGGAGGAUUCAAGCGUUAUCCGGAUUUAUUGGGUUUUAAGGGUGCGUAGGCGGUUCGAUAAGUUAGGGGUGAAAUGCAGGGGCUUAACUCCGGCACUGCCUCUGACACUGUCGGGCUAGAGUGUAGGUGCGGUAGGCGGAAUGUAUGGUGUAGCGGUGAAAUGCAUAGAGAUCAUACAGAACACCGAUUGCGAAGGCAGCUUACCAAACUACGACGGACGUUGAGGCACGAAAGCGUGGGGAGCGAACAGGAUUAGAUACCCGUGUAGUC
rnacentral:rRNA from 1 species